rnacentral:rRNA from 1 species
AUUUAUCGGAGAGUUUGAUCUUGGCUCAGGACGAACGCUGGCGGCGUGCCUAAUACAUGCAAGUCGAGCGGACAGGUGGGAGCUUGCUCGAUGUUAGCGGCGGACGGGUGAGUAACACGUGGGUAACCUGCCUGUAAGACUGGGAUAACUCCGGGAAACCGGGGCUAAUACCGGAUGGUUGUUUGAACCGCAUGGUUCAAACAUAAAAGGUGGCUUCGGCUACCACUUACAGAUGGACCCGCGGCGCAUUAGCUAGUUGGUGAGGUAACGGCUCACCAAGGCAACGAUGCGUAGCCGACCUGAGAGGGUGAUCGGCCACACUGGGACUGAGACACGGCCCAGACUCCUACGGGAGGCAGCAGUAGGGAAUCUUCCGCAAUGGACGAAAGUCUGACGGAGCAACGCCGCGUGAGUGAUGAAGGUUUUCGGAUCGUAAAGCUCUGUUGUUAGGGAAGAACAAGUACCGUUCGAACAGGGCGGUACCUUGACGGUACCUAACCAGAAAGCCACGGCUAACUACGUGCCAGCAGCCGCGGUAAUACGUAGGUGGCAAGCGUUUUCCGGAAUUAUUGGGCGUAAAGGGCUCGCAGGCGGUUUCUUAAGUCUGAUGUGAAAGCCCCCGGCUCAACCGGGGAGGGUCAUUGGAAACUGGGGAACUUGAGUGCAGAAGAGGAGAGUGGAAUU